rnacentral:rRNA from 1 species
UACGGAGGGUGCGAGCGUUGUCCGGAAUCACUGGGCGUAAAGGGCGCGUAGGCGGCCUGAUAAGUAGGGGGUGAAAUCCUGCGGCUUAACCGCAGGGCUGCCUUCUAAACUGUCAGGCUAGAGCACAGUAGAGGCAGGUGGAAUUCCCGGUGUAGCGGUGGAAUGCGUAGAGAUCGGAAGGAACGUCAAUGGCGAAGGCAGCCACCUGGCAUAAUACUGACGCUGAGGCGCGAAAGCGUGGGGAGCGAACAGG